GACGAACGCUGGCGGCGUGCUAACCCAUGCACGUCGCACGGAAAGGCCCUGCUUUUGUGGGGUGCUCGAGUGGCGAACGGGUGAGUAGCACGUGAGUAACCUGCCCUUGACUUUGGGAUAACUUCAGGAAACUGGGGCUAAUACCGGAUAGGAGCUCCUGCUGCAUGGUGGGGGUUGGAAAGUUUCGGCGGUUGGGGAUGGACUCGCGGCUUAUCAGCUUGUUGGUGGGGUAGUGGCUUACCAAGGCUUUGACGGGUAGCCGGCCUGAGAGGGUGACCGGCCACAUUGGGACUGAGAUACGGCCCAGACUCCUACGGGAGGCAGCAGUGGGGAAUAUUGCACAAUGGGCGGAAGCCUGAUGCAGCAACGCCGCGUGCGGGAUGACGGCCUUCGGGUUGUAAACCGCUUUCGCCUGUGACGAAGCGUGAGUGACGGUAAUGGGUAAAGAAGCACCGGCUAACUACGUG
rnacentral:rRNA from 1 species